rnacentral:rRNA from 1 species
UGAUCCCAUGCCGAACUCAGUAGUGAAACGUAAUAGCGCCGAUGGUAGUGUGGGGUCUCCCCAUGUGAGAGUAGGACAUCGCCAGGC